AAUAUAUUUUGUCUAAUGACAUAUUUAUUACUAUCUCCCUUGUUUUUAAGGGCUUUAUAUAGUGUAUACUGGUAUUGUACUUGUUGGUACUGUUGCUGUUUCACAGCAAAUUUUUCAAAAAAUUUUAUAAGGAUUUUUUACCUUAUGGAUGAAGGGUAAUACUGUACUUUCUGUUUUAAAUUUCCUCAAAUCAUGACAUAUUUACAUGGAAAUCAGGAAUUUACUCUGUGUAUUGUAAUUGGUUCCUGUUACCCCAUGUGAACUAAUGUUAUAUAUAUAUUUAUUUUUAAAACCAUACCGUUUUGGGAUUUUAAAGCGAACUUUUUCUAAAAGUGAAAAAUCUGGCUCUUAAUGGCCCAAAAAACUUAAAUUUACUCACUUUUCAUCACGUUCUCAUAUUUACCAAUGCCACAAACCACAGACAAAUUUGCAAUCUUUCCCUAUUCGGGUAUGAAUGCACCAGACGAAAAUAUCUUAUAGUUUAAUCAAAGCAUGUCCAUUGUGAGUAAAGCAUAGUUGGAGAUAGAUGUUAUAAUUAAAUUUUAGUUUAAUGUCAAUAACCAUUCUGCGGUCUAAGCAUACUGCAUGUAGAAUUCAAAGAAUGUUUCAACAACCCCAACAAUAUCCAGCUCUCACCAACAUUUGGAGUUUACAAGGUUACGGAUAGAGGAGAGCAAUGUGGUCUCUGGGUCAUGCAUUGAGACAAUGUUCUUAUACAUGAGGAAUGUGUAAAAGUAAGAAUGUGAUAAAAAGUGAGCUGAUUUUGGUUUUUUGUCCCCAGGGCACAGUUGUAACUUGUAUUUUUUUACCUGUUGCAUUUUUGUUAACAUUUUAAGACUGAAAUCAUAAUCGACAUUGAUGUACAACCAAAAAGGGUCUGUUUAAUAUUGCAAACUUUGUUGUCUAUUGAUAUAUUGCGUGGGAAUAAGUCAAUUAAAUGGCCAAGUACCUGUACUACCAAGUACUGUAAUAUAUAACAAUUCAAUGGUUUGUGUAAAUAUUAACUAUUGUAGCCAUGUAACUGUUUUAAGGAAGUACUUGUACAUAUAAUCUUUUGCACAUUUCCUUGUUCUUAAAAACAUAUUUGCUGAGGUAUUGAAAAUAGACUUUACCCACAGCAAAGAAAUUCUUAAGAUGUACUGAAUAUAUUGUAGUAAUUUCACAAUUCAGUCUUUUAAUUCUGACCAAAAUUUUAAAGAAAGUCAUGACAAGUAUCAAAUUUAAAUUCAGAACAACAUUGUGCACAUGCUCCAGUGGAUUCUUCUCAGAAAUAUAGGAAAUCACUGCAUGUACUGAAUUGGACGUUCUAAAUACCACUACAGCAAAUCACCCAGUGUAAAAAAACAUUCAUGAAAUAUGAUUUUGACACACUACCUGUCCAUUAUUUUUUCCCCAAUUACUGAGAUCCAGCUCUUGAUAUAGUUUGAUGAAGUUUAAGUCGAUAGAUAAUUACAUAUGUAACAUAUAAAUGACUUAAAUCAAACAAAUGUUGUUACAUCAUGUUUCACCUAACUUUGUCAAUUUGCCCUGCAAAAAAUCAGUACUGUGGUUACCGUGAAGGGGUUUGUUGCCUACCAGGAUUAAAUGCAUAUUGACCACUUGUUGAAAUGGAGAAGUGGUCUCCUGCAAUCACGCAACACAUUUGUCCCAAUUGUUGGAUGUUUCAUUUACAUUUGGUCUUUGGACAUUUGAACAAAACAUUCCUCCUCCUCCUCCAGCAAUUAAAUGUAUUUUGAUUUUGUGUAAAUAAGAAAACAGUAUGUUAGUAACAGCUUAGAAUGAGCAAGGAUUGUGUUGAAAAGUUAGUAGUGAUUUGAUUUGACUCAUUGUGUAACAUUCAAGUAAAUGCUAGCCGAGUCCUCCCCUUGUAAAACCUGCAUUGAUAGUGCAAUAACACACCGUUUACUGAGCUGUUUGAUGCUUUAUUGGUUGUAUUUGUGCCAUUAUGAAUAAACUAGCUUCAGUC
rnacentral:misc_RNA from 1 species